rnacentral:lncRNA from 1 species
GUUGGUCUCAUCUGUUUAUGUUACAUUUCCAUUCCAUUGUAUAUGAGCAUAGUUGAAAGUUUUGAUGAUAAGGGAGAUAAUUCAAUAUAUUUUUCAAGAUAACAAACAGGUGUUUCCCCCUUCAAUUCAAGUUACUUUUACCAGGCUACACCUCUGUGACUUCAAUAAAAAAAUAAAGAAGCAAUCAAUUCAUUCCUUGCUUUAAAU